rnacentral:rRNA from 1 species
UUUGUCGGAGGUAUCAUUGCUGGAACGCGCUCCGCAGGCGCACCCAGAUACCCUUUGUGAUACUUAUACCUAACUGUUGCCUCGGCGUCAGGCCGGCUGCCCGCACGGGCGCCCCCCGGAGACGGGGAGCAGCCGUGCCGGUGUGCUCUACACAACUCUUGUUUUUACACCGAAGCUCUGAGUACAAAACACAAAUGAAUCAAAACUUUCAACAACGGAUCUCUUGGUUCUGGCAUCGAUGAAGAACGCAGCGAAAUGCGAUAAGUAAUGUGAAUUGCAGAAUUCAGUGAAUCAUCGAAUCUUUGAACGCACAUUGCGCCCUCUGGUAUUCCGGAGGGCAUGCCUGUUCGAGCGUCAUUUCAACCCUCUAGGCCUGGCCUGGUGUUGGGGCGCUGCCCGUAAGACGGCAGGCCCUGAAAUUCAGUGGCGGGCUCGCAAGGACCCCGAGCGCUAAGUAGUUUACACCCUCGCUCUGGAAGGCCUGCGUGCCUGCCGUUAAACCCCCUACUUCUGAUUUUGACCUCGAGCAGUAGAAACCCCUGA